rnacentral:lncRNA from 1 species
UCGAACUGUUUAAGCCCAGAAAGCCCAGAUUGUUUUCUGACAGCAACUUUGGAGGCUUUGAUCUCCUUGUUGUGAUGUUUUUUGACCAAAGUAUUGGUUGGGUGUUGUAGUGUUACCUUAAUACUACAAUACCAAAGUUUUAGAUAGUCCAGAACAUGCACAGAUUGAAAAUUACAAGUGGUCAAAGUAGCACCCUUGCACUGCCGGCUGUCAGUGUUCUUGAGGCCAAGAACACC